CGCGAGGACCGUCGCCGCCUCCGCCACCGCGCCGGAGCCGAGGAGCCCCGGCCGUAGCCCCAGCGCGCCUUCAGCCGCCGGCUCCCGCGUCCUCGGACUUGUUCCAGCAGCCUGUUAAAACAUGGUGGAUUACUAUGAAGUUCUAGGCGUGCAGAGACACGCCUCGGCCGAGGAUAUUAAAAAGGCAUACAGGAAACUGGCACUGAAGUGGCAUCCAGAUAAAAAUCCUGAGAACAAAGAAGAAGCAGAGAGAAAAUUCAAGCAAGUAGCUGAGGCGUAUGAAGUGUUGUCAGACGCUAAAAAACGGGACAUCUAUGACAGAUACGGCAAAGAAGGAUUAAACGGUGGCGGUGGAGGUGGAAGUCACUUCGACAGUCCAUUUGAGUUUGGCUUCACAUUCCGAAACCCAGAUGAAGUCUUCAGGGAAUUUUUUGGUGGAAGGGACCCAUUUUCAUUCGACUUCUUCGAAGACCCGUUUGAGGACUUCUUUGGGAAUCGAAGGGGCCCCCGUGGAAGCCGGAGCCGAGGCACGGGCUCGUUCUUCUCUGCUUUCAGCGGAUUUCCCCCCUUUGGAGGGGGGUUUCCUUCCUUUGAUGCAGGGUUCGGUUCCUUCGGCUCACUAGGCCACGGGAGCCUUACGGCGUUCUCCUCCUCCUCGGCCUUCGGCGGCAGUGGGAUGGGCAACUACAAGUCCGUAUCGACGUCGACGAAAGUGGUGAACGGCAGGAAGAUCACCACCAAGAGGAUUGUCGAGAAUGGUCAAGAAAGGGUGGAAGUUGAAGAAGACGGCCAGUUGAAGUCCUUGACGAUAAAUGGUAAGGAGCAGCUGCUGCGCUUGGAUAACAAGUAGCUGACGCACGC
rnacentral:lncRNA from 1 species